rnacentral:rRNA from 1 species
ACAUUUCUUUUAGUUUAUAUUAAAAGUAAUUUCUGCCCAAUGAUUUAAUUUAAAUGGCUGCAGUAUUUUGACUGUACAAAGGUAGCAUAAUAAUUAGUCUUUUAAUUGUGGACUUGAAUGAAUGAAAAAAUGAGAAAUAAAUUUUAUUUAGAAUAUAAUUAUAAUUUAAUUUUUAAGUCAAAAAGCUUAAUUGCUUUAUAGGGACGAUAAGACCCUAUAGAACUUAACUAAAAAUUUUAAUUAAUUUGGUUUAGUGAAUAUUUUAUAAAAUAGUUUAAUUGGGGUGAUUAAUAAAUUUACUUUACUUUAUUUAUUUAAUUCAUUUAUUUAUGUAUUUUUGUUCCAUUAUUAAUGAUUAUAAGUUUUAGUUACCUUAGGGAUAACAGCGUAAUUUUAAUGGGGAGUUCAUAUCUAUAUUAAAGUUUGCGACCUCGAUGUUGAAUUAAGAAAAAACUAAGGGGUAGAAUCUUUAUAUUUAAGUCUGUUCGACUUUUAAUUUCUUACGUGAUCUG